UCGGGAAUUUUGGGCAAUGGGGGAAACCCUGACCCAGCAACGCCGCGUGAAGGAUGAAGUAUUUCGGUAUGUAAACUUCGAAAGAAUAGGAAGAAUAAAUGACGGUACUAUUUAUAAGGUCCGGCUAACUACGUGCCAGCAGCCGCGGUAAUACGUAGGGACCAAGCGUUGUUCGGAUUUACUGGGCGUAAAGGGCGCGUAGGCGGCAAUUCAAGUCAUCUGUGAAAUCUCCGGGCUUAACUCGGAACGGUCAGAUGAUACUGCUUUGCUAGAGUGCAGAAGGGGCAAUCGGAAUUCUUGGUGUAGCGGUGAAAUGCGUAGAUAUCAAGAGGGACACCUGAGGUGAAGACGGGUUGCUGGGCUGACACUGACGCUGAGGCGCGAAAGCCAGGGGAGCAAACGGGAUUAGAUACCCCAGUAGUCCCUGAGCGGGCUGGCAAGGCGCAU
rnacentral:rRNA from 1 species